CUACGGGAGGCAGCAGUGAGGAAUAUUGCGCAAUGGGGGAAACCCUGACGCAGCGACGCCGCGUGGAUGAUGAAGGCCUUCGGGUCGUAAAAUCCUGUCAGAAGGAAAGAAGUGUAUGGUAGCUAAUAUCUGCCAUACUUGACGGUACCUUCAAAGGAAGCACCGGCUAACUCCGUGCCAGCAGCCGCGGUAAUACGGAGGGUGCAAGCGUUGUUCGGAAUUACUGGGCGUAAAGCGCGCGUAGGCGGUUUUAUAAGUCAGAUGUGAAAGUCCACGGCUCAACCAUGGAAGUGCAUUUGGAACUGUAAGACUUGAGUAUUGGAGGGGGUAGUGGAAUUCCCGGUGUAGAGGUGAAAUUCGUAGAUAUCGGGAGGAAUACCGGUGGCGAAGGCGACUAUCUGGCCAAAUACUGACGCUGAGGUGCGAAAGCGUGGGGAGCAAACAGGAUUAGAUACCCUCGUAGUC
rnacentral:rRNA from 1 species